GACGAACGCUGGCGGCGUGCUUAACACAUGCAAGUCGAACGGAAAGACCCUGCUUUUGUGGGGUGCUCGAGUGGCGAACGGGUGAGUAACACGUGAGUAACCUGCCCUUGACUUUGGGAUAACUUCAGGAAACUGGGGCUAAUACCGGAUAGGAGCUCCUGCUGCAUGGUGGGGGUUGGAAAGUUUCGGCGGUUGGGGAUGGACUCGCGGCUUAUCAGCUUGUUGGUGGGGUAGUGGCUUACCAAGGCUUUGACGGGUAGCCGGCCUGAGAGGGUGACCGGCCACAUUGGGACUGAGAUACGGCCCAGACUCCUACGGGAGGCAGCAGUGGGGAAUAUUGCACAAUGGGCGGAAGCCUGGUGCAGCAACGCCGCGUGCGGGAUGACGGCCUUCGGGUUGUAAACCGCUUUCGCCUGUGACGAAGCGUGAGUGACGGUAAUGGGUAAAGAAGCACCGGCUAACUACGUG
rnacentral:rRNA from 1 species